rnacentral:pre_miRNA from 1 species
GAAGUAUGAUGCAGCCAAGGAUGACUUGCCUACUCUUUUGAUAUAUGUCAAUUCAGAAUCGGAAUUGUUCAUAGAAGGAAGUUGGCAAGUUGGCCUUGGCUACAUAUUACUUCCU